rfam:Triticum aestivum genome assembly, contig: Triticum_aestivum_CS42_TGACv1_scaffold_414872_5BL
AAGGUACUCCCUCCGUCUAGGAAUACUUGUCAUCAAAAUGAAUAAAAGGAGAUGUAUCUAGACGUAUUUUAGUUCUAGAUACGUCCCUUUUUUUCCAUUUCGAUGACAAGUAUUUUUGGACGGAGGGAGUAGCAU